AACAUCUCCAGGAUUAGAGGACUGAUGUCUCAGCAAGAUCUAGGGAAACUCAUCCAUGUGUUUAAUCUUGGACUUACUGAUUACUGCAACAUCAUCUUCUCAGGUCUGCCCAAAAAAAGCAAUCCUCCAGCUGCAGCUGAUCCAGAACGCUGCUGGUAAUGUUGUACUAAAACCAAGAAGAUAGAGCACAUCACUCAGUUCUAAAGUGCUUCCACUGGCUCCCUGUAGAACAGAGAAUAAACUUUAAAAUACUUAGAUUGCAAAUUACUCAACAGCCCAGCAGACCUGUUGUUAUUGUAUCAACCUUCCAGGCCACUAAGGUCUUCUGGUUCUAGUCUACUCUUCAUUCCCAGAAUGAGAACCAAACAUGCCGAAGCAAUAUUUCAGCUUCUAAGCUCCUCUAAUCUGGAACAAACUGAGAAAAUUGCAAAACAGCUGAAACACAGAGUUCCUUUAGAUCAAGGCCAAAGUUCCACUUGCUCAGAGUUACCUUUGACUAAUAAAUGGAAAACAGGUUAAUUCUUGUCUGGAUUACAACUUGUCAUUAUUUAUCUUUAUUCUGGUAUUGUAAUGCAUGUCUUUUGUUUUGUAAACGGUGUGUUUUUAUCAUGUAAAGCACUUUGAAUUUACUGGACUUGACUUAAUAUUAGAUUACCCAGAACAUAUGCAUAUACCUAAAUAUCUUAGUAGGUUGCAUUACCAUUUUCAUGUCUAAUCCUCCCUAGAAACUAUAACUUAUAUGCAGUGUGUACAGUGUAGUCAUCAAAUGUUCCCAGAGGUCAUUCAGUUUUUUUCAUGGCUUUCAAUCUUGUAUGAUGUGAUGUGCAUGUCUCUUGAAUAUGUGUUAUACUGGAUACUCUGUUCAUAUUGUUGCUUAGAAAUCACAGUAUACCUGCAUGUGGCACAUUUUAAUCCCUAUGGCCUCUCCUUUAGGUCACAGCCGAACAGUAGUUGGUUUGGAACAGAGGAAGAAUGGCAGCCUGUCCCUCCUGCUUUUAGAUCCUGGCUCUUCAUCAUCUGACACCAGAAAGCUGCUGAGCAGGGAGACGUGCCUGACUGCCGUUCAGUUUGUCAGGAAGUUCCCCAGAAAUCUAAAGCACAAACAGUACCAGCUCAUAGCAGUACAAGGCGUGUUGUCUCCUGAAGAGAAACAGAUAAGAAUCUUCACCUCCAGAACAUUAUCUCCUGAAAGGAUUCCAUGAAUGCAAAUGAUUUUUUAUAUAUACAAUACUGUAAUUGAUAUACUACAAAAUUUAUGUCCAAUUUUAAACUUUCUAAAUAAACAGUUUUAUUUUUUGCAGUCUUACUUUCAUGAUGUCAUGUUUUGAGUCUAUGGUAGUUGUCUAUUAAGAGUGCAUAACUAUACAAAAUAUUGAAUCCUUUUGGAAUCAGGUUGUUUGCAUGUAUUUUAAAGGGAUCCAAGAUUAGUUGAAAAUGUUGACCUAAAUAUAUUGCAGAUUUCUAUUGCUGUUUGUGAUAUGUAACAAUUCAUCAUUUGUUACAUCUGGAUUCUCAUCUUACAUUUGAAAAUCACAUCAAGCAUCUGGUUAAAAUCUAUUUCUUUCAUCUUCGUAAUAUAUCCAAAAUUCGUCCAUCUCUCUCUUUCUCUGAUGCCGAGACUCUCGUCCAUACCUUUGUCUCCUCCAGGCUCGACUACUGCAACUCUCUGUUUGUUGGAAUCCAUAGAAAACAUCUUCAGAAGCUUCAAUACAUUCAAAACAGCGCAGGAGGGAUUCUACUGAGAGCCCGUAAAUCUGACCAUAUUACAUCUAUUCUGCAUGAUCUUCACUGGCUUCCUGUCACCUACAGAAUUCAGUACAAAAUCGCUCUCAUUACCCAUCAGUGUCUAAACGGAACCUCACCGGAUUAUCUGAAAGACCUUCUCAUUCCAUAUUCAUCCACCAGAUCUCUACGAUCACAAGACUGCAACUUCCUCCACCUUCCUCGAUCCAGAUUAAGGACCAUGGGAGAUCGGGCAUUCGCUGUGGCUGCCCCCCGUCUCUGGAACUCUCUCCCGGACCAUUUGAGAGCUCCACAACCACUGGUUGACUUUAAAAGAGGCUUAAAGACUUUUCUAUUUAAGCAAGCCUAUUCUGCCUCUACAUGAUUUUUAUGAUGCUGAUUUUAUCUAUGAUUUUAGUUGUACUGUGUAGCACUUUGAGAUUUUUGCUAGUGAAAAGUGCGGUACAAAUUUAAUUGAUUAUUAUUAUUAUUAUUAUUACUGUAAUAUUUUUCCAUUACAUUUUUUCACCUGUGCAAUGCAUGCUGGGUUGAUGACCCGGUUGGCUCUGUUCUGUACUGGAAUGUACGGAUUAAAGGCUAACUUUACCUGAGUUGUUGUUUAUCAUAUUACAUUUGACUUGUGUAAUUUCAGAUAAUGCCACAGUGUGUCACUGUUGGAUGUAAUAAAAAAA